UACGAGGGGGGCAAGCGUUGUUCGGAAUUAUUGGGCGUAAAGGGUGCGUAGGCGGUUUGGUAAGUCUUAUGUGAAAUCUACAGGCUCAACUUGUAGUCUGCAUGAGAAACUGCCGGGCUUGAGUAUGGGAGAGGUGAGUGGAAUUCCUGGUGUAGCGGCGAAAUGCGUAGAUAUCAGGAGGAACACCUGUGGCGAAAGCGGCUCACUGGACCAUAACUGACGCUGAUGCACGAAAGCUAGGGGAGCAAACAGG
rnacentral:rRNA from 1 species